UACUAUUUCAAGUACAAAUAGUUUCUUCUUCCUGCAGUUUUUUGGCCCAAAGACAAAGACGGUUCAUGAUAUCGUCAUCUCAGGGCCAAGUCUUUUCACGGUCAGAGCAAGGAAGGAGAAGGACGAAGCUUUCGUGUACUGUUUGGGGUAUCUCAGAACACUGUUCAUGCAGUGAUUUGGUUUUCCACUCCUAUAAAUACUCCUUUGCUUUUCUAGAGUGUGUGUUCAUGCAGUGUUCUCAUGGUUAAUCUCUUCAUUCUUCUCUUGGUUGCUUCAUUGAUCUUGGCUGUGAAACGUGAACGCAGCAAAUGGUGUAUCACAUUGUUACACUUACUGCACAUGCGAUGGUUCUUCUAUGGAGAAAAUGAGAUGAAAAUGAAGAUGGGAGAGUUGAAUGAGGUUAUAUCAAAUUUGAGGAUGAUGAUUUCCUCUUUAGAAGAGAGAAUUACAAAGGAAGAACGAGAUAAAUUGCCAGGAAGCUAUUGAUUGUUAUAGAAAAGAAAAGGAUGCCAAAGUGAAGCUGAGAAGAUGCAAGCUUCACUUUCAACUGAGCUUGACAAAGUUCGGUAUGAGAAAUAAGCUGUUGAGAAGAAGGUAAUGCUAUGUUCUAAUUAGGAAAAUUUAUAGUUACCAGUUAAAAAUAUUGAAGCCCCCAAUUCCGACAAGAGUUAUUGCCCUCUGAUUAUUAUUCAGGCUAUUUCAAAUGAGACCUGUACAAGAGAUCAUAAGAGUAUAAUAUGAACCUACAACAGUACAAUAGUCGCCUUCAGUCAGAUCUUGAAACAACUUAUGAGGCACAUAAACGACUAGAAACAGAGAAAUCAACUAUUGUUGAGAACCUUAGCAAUGUAAGAGGGCACAAUAAGGCAUUGCAGGAGCAGUUGUCAUCUCUUAAGGCUUCACAAGAUGAGGCUACUAAGCAAAAUGAAAUUUUAGCAAAUGAACUCAAAUGCCUCAGAGAAGAAUUAAAGCAAAUUAGAGAUGAUCGUGAUCAUCAACAGGCCAAGUACAUUCUAUAACUGGAGAAGUAGCAAAAUACAAAGAAUAUACAGAGAAAUCUUGGAUACCUUACAACUAAAACUAAUGCUCUUGUGGAGACAUGUACUUCUCAAAUGGAGCAAAUAAAUAUGCUGCAGCAGCAGUUGAUUGCUGAAAGGGAGAAGUUAAAGGUUAGAAGAGGGAAAAUCAAUGAGAAAUUAAGUAGUCCUGAAUGUUACAAGGUCAAGAGUCAAGACAUUUAGCAUCAACUUGAAGUGAAACCUUAAGUGGUCCUGAAUGUGUCAACUUUGAAGCGAAACCAUUAGUUGACGAAAAAGGUUCAAAUUUUUAGCAUACAUGUUUUGAUUUUGAUAAAAAAAAUUGAGGCUAUUUAAGUACAAGAAUAGUUUUUUUUUUCCCUUGGAAUUUCAGCUUUCAAUGGAGUACAUUUUUGGCUCAUAAUGCAUCUGUUUGAGUGUUGUCUACACCUUAGGCAUACUGGUUUUGUAAUUCGUAACUUACUAGAUUAUUGCUUUUAUUUUGUUUAACACAUAAUAUGCAUUUAUUUCCUGACUCUCCUUUGUCCUUGACUGCAGAGAAGCUAUGGUCUAGACUUAAGUUAUGUUUACUGAGAUUUUUGAAUUCAAAUAUGGUUGUCCUAUAUAUGAUGUGAGGUGACAUAUUUUAGAGAUGCCCCGAAGAUUCAAUAAAAGUGGUGAAAAGAAGAAACAUGAGAACCAAGGAAGAGAACUCGCUUCUGGAAAAUACAGUUGUAAAAUGUAUUUGUAUAAUUCAAAUACAUCCCAACAUUGAUGCCAAAUUUGUCUCAAACAUAGCUUAAGGAGAAUUUCAUUUUCGUCUGAUGGAAAAUAGAAGAGUUUAUUUUUCCCCAUUGUCUUGCUAACUUGUAAGUUUUAGAUAUUAGUCAUCCUUAAAAGCUUAAACUUUAAGAUUGUGCUUUUCUCUUGUGGGGAAAGUCUUGCAGUGCUCUAAGUUUUAGAUAUCAAUCAACCUGAAAUUUUAGUGGCAUGUAUGUUAGAUGAAUAUUUGUCUAUCACUUAGACCUUUCCUUGAAUUGUGGCACUUGUGUGUUUACAUAUUUGCUUGAAUGUAUUUAUUGUUAAUACUAUCCAAGGUUUGCUCUGCAUGUGGUACUUGAAUUUGUUGUGACUUUGCAUGUUGUUUAAUGUUGAGAGCAAUUAUAUGAUUGCUCCAUAUUUGUUCUUUUUAGAUACGGAUUGAAGAAUGAGUUUAUUUUGGUGACU